UACGAAGGGGGCUAGCGUUGCUCGGAAUCACUGGCGUAAGCGCACGUAGGCGCCAACUAAGUCAGACGUGAAAUCCCCAGGCUUAACCUGGGAACUGCGUCUGAUACUUGGAUGGCUUGAAUUCGGGAGAGGGAUGCAGAAUUCCAGUGUAGCGGUGAAAUGACGUCAGAUAUCUGGAGGAAUACCGGGUGGCGAAAGGCGGCAUCCUGACCCGACAUUGACGCUGAGG
rnacentral:rRNA from 1 species